rfam:Gossypium raimondii Chr11_contig_993, whole genome shotgun sequence.
AAUUAAAAUUUUUAUCCAUUUGUACUGAUAAAAUUGACAUGACUGAUGAAAUAACUAAACAAUAAUACGUGGCGUGCUAUGUUUACCUCAUGUUCACUUAUAGGGACCAGUUUUUAAUAAUAGAAAUGGAUGAAAUUUUUAACA